AAAACUGACUGAAUCGAGCCACAGUUAUUUCCCUACAAUGGUCUUCGGAACGAGCUCCAAGUUUUGGUCUUUGGGUUCCAUUUGGUCAAAUCUUUAUCAUCUGGAAGUCGGUGGGGUGCCCCUGGGUCCCCUCGUCGUUCAUGGGCAGGUUGACCCGACUUGGUAGUUACUCUUGUCGGUUCAAGCGGUCUUCCACUUUGCGGGUCGAGCGAGGUUUCUCGUCGGCAGCCCAUGCCCCUGUUUAAACCCCCGGGGGCGUUCCUUCAAAGCCUUGCCGCCGCAAACGGCGUUGCCCGUGGGGGAAGUCCCCGCAGAAUCCGCUAACCCGCGAGGAUCUGUCCAAGCUUUCCUUUAACAUUCACGGCUUUUAACCUCUUACAAAGGCUUUCAUUUUCGUCGAUAACUGCACCUGUAUUCCCGGCACGAUUAGCAUGGACAAAUUUCCACCAAUAGAGCUCAUCCGAACAACUUACUAUUGAAGAGCUCAUAGGGGGGGACCCCCUUCGAUCGGGAUCUCACCUAUAGAGGUCCGUUCCAGGCACUAGAUGGGACCGCCCCGAAGCAUCUCUGCAAAGACAAAGUGGCCCGGAAGGCCCAGUUUCAAAUGGAGCUUUCCCGAUCACUCGUAUUACUGGACAAUCCAGUUGCUUGUUUUUGGAAGUAAAAGUCGUAACAAGGUUUCCGUAGGUGAACCUGCGGAAGGAUCAUUACCGAGUGAGGGCCCUCUGGGUCCAACCUCCCACCCGUGUUUAUUUUACCUUGUUGCUUCGGCGAGCCUGCCUUUUGGCUGCCGGGGGACGUCUGUCCCCGGGUCCGCGCUCGCCGAAGACACCUUAGAACUCUGUCUGAAGAUUGUAGUCUGAGAUUAAAUAUAAAUUAUUUAAAACUUUCAACAACGGAUCUCUUGGUUCCGGCAUCGAUGAAGAACGCAGCGAAAUGCGAUACGUAAUGUGAAUUGCAGAAUUCAGUGAAUCAUCGAGUCUUUGAACGCACAUUGCGCCCUCUGGUAUUCCGGAGGGCAUGCCUGUCCGAGCGUCAUUGCUGCCCUCAAGCACGGCUUGUGUGUUGGGCUCCGUCCUCCUUCCGGGGGACGGGCCCGAAAGGCAGCGGCGGCACCGCGUCCGGUCCUCAAGCGUAUGGGGCUUUGUCACCCGCUUUGUAGGACUGGCCGGCGCCUGCCGAUCAACCAAACUUUUUUCCAGGUUGACCUCGGAUCAGGUAGGGAUACCCGCUGAACUUAAGCAUAUCAAUAAGCGGAGGAAAAGAAACCAACGGGAUUGCCCCAGUAACGGCGAGUGAAGCGGCAGAGCUCCAUUUGAAAGCUGGCUCCUUCGGGUCCGCAUUGUAUUUGCAAGGAUGCUUGGGAGCGGUCCCCUCUAGUGCCUGGAACGGACCUAUAGAGGUGAGAAUCCCGUAUGGGAUGGGUGUCCGCCCCAUGUGAAGCUCCUCGAGAGUCGAGUUGAUCGGAAUGAGCUCUAAUGGGUGGAAAUUCAUCUAAGCUAAUAUUGCCGGAACCAUAGCGCGAAUUAAGUGACGAAGAUGAAAGCCUUUGAAAGGAUUAAAACCCGUGAAUGUGAAGGGAACGCUUGGACAAACUCCUGCGGGUCAGCCGCAUCGGGCGGGGACUCCCCCGACGGGCACGUCGUUGGGCGCCGCCAAGGCCCGAAGGACGCCCCCGGGGCGCUAAACCGGGGUGAUGCGGCUGCCGACGAGAACGCUUCGCCGACCUGGAAAAGUGUAUCACCUUUGAACCGACAAGGCUAAAUACCAGGGUCGGGCAACCGCGCAGGAACGAAGAGGGGACCCUAGGGCCU
rnacentral:sRNA from 1 species